rnacentral:rRNA from 1 species
AUGGCUGCAGCGGCUGGGAGAGGAGGAAACACGAGUUUGGAUCUAGCUGGAGCAGCCAGAGUAGAAGGAAGCACAGACGCAGAAGGGGGGAAGGGACCUUGUCGUCGAUCUGGAGCAAGAUUGUGGCGGCUGCUUGCAUUCGUUUGUGGGGAAUUUGCUGCUGCUGCUUGGGUUGCUUAUUGUGCGGCUGCUUGCGUUCGUUUGUGGGGAAUUUGCCGCUGCUGCUUGGGUUGCUUAUUGUGCGGCCGCUGCUUGUGUUCGUUUGUGGGGAAUUUAGCAAAACGAGCACGUAAUGGAGUUUGCCGCUGCUUUCUUUUGCUUCCUGGAGCUCCUGUUGCCCCCGAGCUUUCUGGAGCGGCUACACAUCAUAGUGGUGGUGCUCGGUUACGGACAACCUCAAGCUUGAGAUGGCUGUCACGGGUUAGAAGUGUUGAACCGACAUCCCCCUCUGGUCAUUGUUGCCCCCGAGCUCCUGUUAAUUUUCUGGAAGUCUUAUAUUCAGCUACUUUAUGCUCAAUUGGCUUGUAA